GUAAAUUAAGGCUAAACAAUAACAUUGCAAAUGUUAAAAAUAAAAGCCUUCGAGACUUAAAUUUAAAAUAU
rnacentral:tRNA from 1 species